UUUUGUGUAUGGUAUGAGAAAAUGUUCUAAUUUCAUUCUUUUACAUGUAACUGUCUAAAUUCCCCAGAUUGCUUAUUGAAGAGUAUAUCUUUUCCCCUUUUCUAUUCUUGCCUCUUUUGUCAUAGGUUAAUUGACUGAAAAUGUGUGGGUUUAUUUCUAGCUCUCUACUCUAUUCCAUUGAUCUUUGUGUCUGGUUUUAUGCCAGUACCAUACUGUUUUUGUAACAGAACAGGGAGAGCGCAGCCCUUAGCAGGUAGCAUUGCUAUGCCUAAUUACUCUGCACUCUGUUACUAGGCAACUAGGUCUUGCCCAGCCAUUGGUCGAUGCCCCACACCCACAAAGCAACCAACUGUCAAUGAGCGACUGUUGGUUGUCCUGCUCAGCUCUUGGUCAGCACUGCGGUGGGCCCUGCCCACUGGUAACUGUCAAUGAGGGACCAUUGGUGAUUCAGCCAAGGGGUGGUAGUAUGGUGGUCAUCAGGUGGAGAGUGAGGGUUCAGUCACCAUAGAAGAAGUCUGAUUAUCCUGAGACUACCAGACUUUUAUGAAAGCCCAAGUGAGCCACUUGAAGAUGUCACAUAAAGGAGUACCAAAGUGCUCUGAUUGACAGCCCCACAAAAAAUCCCAGCCUUUAGGCAGCACCAACUGCCACCAUCUGGGACAUUCCAAAUCAGUUGAGCCUCCAGUGAGCCAUCUUGGACAUUCCAGACCAGUUGAGCCUCCAGAUGACUGCAGCCACAGCUCUCACCGCAUAAGGAAGGAACUACCCAGGUGAACUCAGCACAUCCAGAUUCUUGAGCCAUGACGAUAAUUGUUGCUGUUUGAAGCCACUAAUUUGAAGGAAAUAUUUUCCAUAUCCCUUAAGAGCAGUAGUGAUAUCACUGACCCCAUGAAAAUUAGAAGACAUGAUUAGCUGAAGAAGCUUCAGCGUUUUUUUUAAAAGUUCCAGUCCCAUGUCCUACUUGGUAUAUGUCACACGUCCUGAGACUCAUCAUUUGGAUUAGGAAAUUCGCCACACUUCCUCAUCAAGAACAGCGAUGCCAGAGUGGUCCAUCUGGUGUGUUCGGCUGCAGGCUGGUACCUAGAACCUGAGGCAAGAUGGGGAGAUCCCUAAGGACAGAAUUUAAAGCCACACUCUGAAAGUACCAGAGCAGGUGGAAACAGCAUGUUCUCCAAUGAGUCUUUAGUUCUGGUUAACUGUGACCUUUUUGGUCCUCAACCCCAGACUCAACCAGAAGAAGGAAAUGACUAUUUCUAUUGGCAGAAAUAAUAAUAUGGAUAAUUUUGAGUAUUUUAACUGUGGUCUGCAUUUCCAUGGUUGUUUUCUUCACUGCGGUACAAGGAAGAUCUAAACACUUCAGCAUGGUUUGGGAGACCUUCUGGCGUCCAUCCUGUUAAUCGUUCAGCUUUCAGUCUGCAAACUUGAGAUGAGGGAUCCCACCAUUGGAACUUUAGCUGUUCUGAUACAGGCUUGCUGGUGGUAUCUUCUCCUGCAAGCACCACACCCAUGCUGCCUUCUAGGGAGAGACUGGCACCUCCUGCCGACAUGCUGAAUUGCCCUCUGAGGACAAGGAGAUGCUCACAGGCCUUGCUACCUCAUAGGUGGGUACAUGCUGGAAGCACCUGCCUGGCCGUGCUGGCUCUGCUUCCUCCUGGAUCCAUGAAGGCUGCUCCUGCCAGUGCUGGUGGAUUUGCCCUGGGCGUGAAGACUUGGUGGAUGCUGUGCCAUAGUACCUGCCAUGGCUCCCGUUGCUGCUGCCUCCCCUGCCCCUGCUGCCACCCUCUGUCAGGUUAUCACAGGCUUCAUGAUGGCGAGAGUAUGUGCUCCCAUAAGAGUGCUAGGAGGACUCUUAGAUUCCUCACUCCCCAUUAAGCAUAACCGGAAGAGAUGACUUUAAAUAUCUCAGAGAUGAUAUGAAGUCAACCUGAUGCUGACCUGACCUUGGUGUUCUUCUCGUAGAUAUUCAUGGCCUGUGCUGAGGGGGAGAAACAAAUAGAGGAGAAAAUGAGUGAAAGACCUCUCCCUCUCCCUUGAAUAACUCAAGGGCUUACAAUUAGAAGAAUUUUUUAUGUCAA